AAGAUGGCGAGAAAAGCUGUGUGUAUUUCUGAGGUGCCCGUACCGCAAACCGACACAGGUAGGUAGGAAGAAGAUUCUAAGGCCAACGGGAGAAGGGUUGUUAAGGAACUCGGCAAAUUGACCCCGUAACUUCGGGAGAAGGGGUGCUCCAGAGAUGGAGCCGCAGAGAAUCGGCCCAAGCAACUGUUUACCAAAAACACAGGUUUGUGCUAAAUCGAAAGAUGACGUAUACGAGCUGACGCCUGCCCGGUGCUGGAAGGUUAAGAGGAGAUGUGCAAGCAUUGAAUCGAAGCCCCAGUGAACGGCGGCCGUAACUAUAACGGUCCUAAGGUAGCGAAAUUCCUUGUCAGGUAAGUUCUGACCCGCAUGAAAGGCGUAAUGAUUUGGGCACUGUCUCAACAGCCCGCCCGGCGAAAUUGUAGUACCGGUGAAGAUGCCGGUUACCCGCGACAAGACGGAAAGACCCCAUGGAGCUUUACUGUAGCCUAAUAUUGGGUUUCGAUGUUGCAUGCACAGGAUAGAUGGGACACUGGGAAACAAUCGCUUUGGCGGUUGCGGAGUGGCCGUUGGGAUACCAUCCUUGCGAUAUUGGAAUUCUAACCUGCGGCUCUGAAUCGAGUCGGGGGACAUUGUUAGGUGGGCAGUUUGACUGGGGCGGUCGCCUCCUAAAAAGUAACGGAGGCGUUCAAAGGUUCGCUCAGCUUGAACGGAAAUCAAGCAAAAGAGUGCAAACGCAGAAGCGAGCCUAACUGCGAGACUGACGGGUCGAGCAGUAACGAAAGUUGGAGUUAGUGAUCCGGUGGUAUGUGAGUGGAAAUGCCAUCGCUCAACGGAUAAAAGCUACCCUGGGGAUAACAGGCUGAUCUCCCCCAAGAGUCCACAUCGACGGGGAGGUUUGGCACCUCGAUGUCGGCUCAUCGCAUCCUGGGGCUGAAUUCGGUCCCAAGGGUUUGGCUGUUCGCCAAUUAAAGCGGUACGCGAGCUGGGUUCAGAACGUCGUGAGACAGUUCGGUCCCUAUCUGUCGUGGGCGCAGGAUAUUUGAUGGGAGCUGUCCCUAGUACGAGAGGACCGGGACGGACGUACCUCUGGCGCACCAGUUGUUCCGCCAGGAGCAUAGCUGGGCAACUACGUACGGAUCGGAUAAACGCUGAAAGCAUCUAAGCGUGAAGCCGACCCAAAGAUAAGAUGUCCCAUUGUUUUAAACAAGUAAGACCCCUUGAAGACUACAAGGUUGAUAGGCACGAUGUGUAAGUGGAGCGAUCCAUUCAGCAAGCGUGUACUAAUAGGUCGAGGGCUUGACCAC
rnacentral:rRNA from 1 species